AUGGUGGAGAGCACGGCUAGCUUGGAUCGCCUGAGGUAGUUCAAGCUGCAUAGCUCUUUUGAGGGGUGCUUAUUUAAAAAGCUGUUGGAAGGAUUGGACUAUGCUACAAGGGUCACUAGCUUGUCCUUUCUGGCUGAGGAUUUCUGAGGGAUUUAAAUGGGCAGGAGAGAAGGAGUUCCUUCCCACUUAUAUGGGUCCUGUCCUUCAAUGUGCUUUUCCUUCCAGACAUUCUUUCCUCCUUCCAGGAACCUCUUAAAACGACCUUUGCUUACCCCUCCAUUGAUCAAUGGACUUUCACUAAGUUUCUAGAAAGCUAUUGGUUCUGCAUGCGUCCUCUUUCUUUUGGCCUUUAGUCUCAAUGCCAUGCAGAAAAGGAAAAGGAAAGGUCUUUCUUUCUUUUGCAAGUUUCAGGAGAAACCUCCUAGAGAAGCUGAGCAGGGGUUUCAGCCACCAAAAUAGCCCAAGCCCUGCUCUGAUCCUACUCUCAUUUUUCUUCCCAAGUUGGGUUGUUGGAUUCUCUUUUGUUCUGACCUGGUUGUUAAGGUCCUUCAGCUCCAUCCAGGAACUGAAGGAGAGACUCUGGCAAAGAUGAGCUACGUGCCUCCCUCCCUCAUCUGGAUGUGUUUGUACCUAAUAGCUAGGUGUUAUAGAAAGAAGAGAUGCCUUCACAUACCAAAAAGAUUUCAAUAGUGUACAGGAAUCAUCUUCCUAGACUACUCUGAGUGGGAACGAUCGGACAUGACUCGAACUCAGAUCAAACUAUCCCCAUCUUGUGCUCACUGAACUUCUUCUAGUGCUUGAGAGAUGGACUAGAUAUUUUUGUGAUGGGAUGGACUACCAAAGACACACUGCCCCUCUGGGGUCUUCAAGGCAGAGUUGCAUGAACUGCUGAUGGUCUUCCUCUCCUGAGCUGACUUGCCUGCAUACAGAAAUGCUGCAGGGAAGCUUGGGUCGCACUGCUUUCUCUGAGGCAAGAGGCCAGCUGCUUCGCAAAAGUUGGAGAGUCAGAGAAGAGAGAGCACAUGCCGCGGGAUGCAACAGGUGACACUGCAGAAAACGCCUCACUCUAGAGUUCUGGAACUGCAGGGAACCAGUUGCUGCAGCUGCUUCGGGGGGCAUAGCAGUCCUUGCCCAUAUAAUUAGGACUAUUGACCAACACUGGGGAAAAAAGGGCAAGGCAGAAGAAAAGCAACUUUGCAGAAAGAUUGCUCUGUUGGAUUCCGUUGCUGGAAGAACAGUGGUGGAGAACAAUUGGCCAGGCCACUCUGGGAGCCUUCUCGAUGGAACUCCCGCAAGUGACAGUGAGUCAUCCGGAAAUGGCUGGGAGCUUAAGCACUUCCUGAAUGGCGUGUGGGAGCCGAACUGACGGCAGAGAGGCGGCUCAGAGACCCCAGCGAGCAGGAGGGCUGGAAGGACGUCAGAGUGCAAGAGCUCCCGCGGCGCCUGUGGAGAGAGUCCCUGGAGAAGGAAGGGCUUUUGCUUCUGUGACCAGAGAAGCUCUUCUGAUCCUUUGAGCCAUCCCUGACCUCUGAGGAAGAAGCACUGGCUGUGAGGGGGCAAAGCGGAGAGAUAACAUCUGGAUGGACAUGGCAGCACGGGCCAAGGAGCUGGGGCAGCUGCUGCAGCUUUGGCGACCAAGAAGAAGUUCCCAUACUGAGGAAUCUCCCAAUGGGAGGCACCCAGCGGAAAACCAAGGACUUGCGAGGGGCUGCAUGUGCUAAAGAAGCUGUGAAGUCUCAAAGGGGCAGCUAGAGCAAUACGGAUGCUGGGGCUGGGCAACAGGGGAGGUUGACGUCCUUCAAGAUUUGCAUGUGGUGGACCUCCAAUGGGGAGGAAAAAUGGACCGGAACUGGGGAGAACAGUGAAGAAUGCUAUGGAUGGGGAUAGCUAAAAUUUUCUUUCCUGUUCAGUUCAUUCAAAGGGUUCGUCCAAAACGGCUUGGCAACCCUAUUGCUGUGGAGUUUGGGCAGUUGAAGCUAGAGGCCCAUGUUCAGAAAAAUGUCUUGGAAUCAAAGAUGUUUGACUGAGCUGCAGAGUCACAGGGCAUAUCUAGCUUCCCACAUUGACCAGACAUCCCAUGGAGUACAUGCCUUUUGCUGAACUGAUACUCCUGUUUUGUUUCUUGAGUUAGGAAGCACAAACGCAUACACCACUGUACACGGUAUGUUUUUACCAGAACCUUUUUUUGAUGUUCAAACAAGUUUUGCUUCAGAUUCCACCUGUUAAACAGGUUGGAUUGGAGAUGGUUUUGGAUUAGUUCUACUUUUUCCAAAGCUACCUGGCCUACUCUCUUGUGUAGGUGUGAUUGUCUAUGAACAUGUGUAACGUGCCGAAUCAUACCAUCACUCCAAUCAUUGGUAUGCUUGGUAAUGCCAAACACGAUGUACCUUCAGCCAUUGAAAGAAGACUCUGGGGGCAGGAGUACCAUGGUGGGAAAGUGAGAAAGGGGUGGACUUCCAGAAGGCCCUCAGUAUCAAAGCGGGCCUUCAGAAAACCUCUUGCCAUUUCCCCCUUAGCACUGCAAGCAUUAAUCGAGAUGGCAAGUGGAGAUGAUUCUGGCACGUAUUUUGAGUGCUAGCCAACUGGAUCGUUGGAGUUUGACUACACCAAUGGCUUCCAACAAAUGGCAGCUUUAUCUGUAGCACUUUUGUGUGUGGAUCAUCAUUUCUCAUUGAGAGAUUUGAUGGAGCUACUCUCCCGAGGGAGAAACCUGUGGAAGCUUAUGCGUGAGCGAUGUGAGCGUGAAACCAAAAACCCGAAUCUCAUCCAUUGUAUAGAAUUGCUCCCACAAAAUGGCUUACUAUCUCUGAUUCUGUUUUUACUUUGGGGUUUUAGCAUUUUGCAAAAUGUGAUGUAUAUUGUACAGAAGUCGGCCUGCGCGGUGGAUUAUAUGUUAUUGUCUUCAGUAGUCCAGAGUCUGUUAGACUCACAAUCCUCUUGACCCUAUUCUGACCUUAUGAGACUGCUGAGUCCUCAUGUUCUCACACUGGUUGUGAAUCAAAGGAGGCUGUGUCAGCCGUGAUAUUGUGUGAAACACCAAAUGCUCCAGGUGCAAGGCGAUUGUAGCCAAGUCUGCUCAUAGAGAGAAAACAUUUGCCUUUGUAGUUUUCUACAAUAAAACAUGG